rnacentral:rRNA from 1 species
CCUACGGGUGGCAGCAGUGAGGAAUAUUGGUCAAUGGACGAGAGUCUGAACCAGCCAAGUAGCGUGAAGGAUGACUGCCCUAUGGGUUGUAAACUUCUUUUAUAAAGGAAUAAAACGAGGCACGUGUGCCUUUUUGCAUGUACUUUAUGAAUAAGGAUCGGUUAACUCCGUGCCAGCAGCCGCGGUAAUACGGAGGAUCCGAGCGUUAUCCGGAUUUAUUGGGUUUAAAGGGAGCGUAGAUGGGUUGUUAAGUCAGUUGUGAAAGUUUGCGGCUCAACCGUAAAAUUGCAAUUGAUACUGGCAGUCGUGAGUACAGUUGAGGUAUGCGGAAUGCGUGGUGUAGCGGUGAAAUGCUUAGAUAUCACGAAGAACCCCGAUUGCGAAGGCAGCUUACUAAACUGUGACUGACAUUGAUGCUCGAAAGUGUGGGUAUCAAACAGGAUUAGAUACCCUUGUAGUC